AACAGAAAGAAAAACAUUAUAAAAUCAUUUUGUUCUUUUUUCUAAAAAGAGAGCAGUGGCUCUGCUAGGGUUUUUUUAACCCACUCUUUACGCCACCGAUCAAGCCUAGUGCUCAUGCCCCGAUUUCGACGGAGAAGACACCGGCUCGAUGACUCCGACGACUAGAUUUGAAGGCCAACCUGGAGCAACGGACGGAGGUGCACACGCGCGUGAAGGCACAACUCGUGCGAAGGAAACUCUGGCCGCUGCGGCGCUAGGGGUCGUGUGCUACUACUAGGGUUUCUGAAUGCUUGUUUUGGGUCAUAUUGUAUUUGGACUAGGGUCUAGUAUUUGGGUUGAUGUAAUUUGGGUCUUUUGGACAAAUGUAAAUGGAAUUUGGAAUUGGACAUUUGGUUUUAUUUGGCCUUAACGGGCUGGGCAAAAAUUGGGUAUUACAUCAUUCUUUAGGAGAAUGAAUGUAUUGAGAGAUUUCUUUUCUACUGUAAAACCAAUGUCAGGUCUAGUAAAUGAAAGAUGUUGAAGCUUUCCAAGGAUGCGUCAAUAAUAAGAUCCAUCAACAGUUGCACCA